rnacentral:rRNA from 1 species
AUUGAACGCUGGCGGCAUGCCUUACACAUGCAAGUCGAACGGUAACAGGUUAAGCUGACGAGUGGCGAACGGGUGAGUAAUACAUCGGAACGUGCCCAGACGUGGGGGAUAGCUCGGCGAAAGCCGGAUUAAUACCGCAUAAGCUCUGAGGAGGAAAGCGGGGGACCGUAAGGCCUCGCGCGUUUGGAGCGGCCGAUGGCAGAUUAGGUAGUUGGUGGGGGAAAGGCUUACCAAGCCUACGAUCUGUAGCUGGUCUGAGAGGACGACCAGCCAAACUGGGGCUAGGACACGGCCCAGGCUCCUACGCGAGGCAGCAGUGGGGAAUUUUGGACAAUGGGCGAAAGCCUGAGUCAGCAAGGCCGCGUGCAGGAUGAAGGCCAUCGGGUUGUAAACUGCUUUUGUACGGAACGAAAAGGCGCCUACUAAUACUGGGUGUUGAUGACGGUACCGUAAGAAUAAGCACCGGCUAACUACGUGCCAGCCGCCGCCGUAA